UCUUAGGUGACUGAGUUAAUUAAGUGUUAGAUUUUUAAUCUAAAGACAGCAAAUAUGCUCCUAAGAAC
rnacentral:tRNA from 1 species